rnacentral:lncRNA from 1 species
UGGAAGGCCUUAAAGUAUGGGUCUGACGACCUGUGAAGUCUUUUGCAGAAAGGGAUGCCACAGUCGACCACAUAUAGUUUUGAGAAGACAACUUAGACCACCUUGUGCCCAGUAGCUCAAGAGGGAAGGGAGAGUUUGGUUUUUUUAAUUGUUACCUGACCUUAUUGGCCCAUUCAUACCCUUCUAAUCCCCAGAAACUCUCUUCUCCAACCCUCCCUCUAAGUACAGCUGCUCUCAUUUUUGGAGAACUAAUUCAUCUAGCUUAGGACUCAUCCAGGCUCUCUGGCUGUGCUUCUUUUUCCUCAUAUCAUAGGUUUCACUCUAGGUCAUUUUUACUCUGGAAGGUGCAGGAUUUGAGAGUAGAUACAGAAAGUGUAGGGGCAGCUAGGUUAUGCAGUGGAUAGAAUGCUGGACCUGGGGCCAGAAAG